rnacentral:rRNA from 1 species
CUCCAGUUGAUCGCAUGGUCUUCUGGGAAAGCUUUCGCGGUAUGGGAUGGGGUCGCGUCCUAUCAGCUUGACGGCGGGGUAACGGCCCACCGUGGCUUCGACGGGUAGCCGGCCUGAGAGGGCGACCGGCCACAUUGGGACUGAGAUACGGCCCAGACUCCUACGGGAGGCAGCAGUGGGGAAUAUUGCACAAUGGGCGCAAGCCUGAUGCAGCGACGCCGCGUGAGGGAUGGAGGCCUUCGGGUUGUAAACCUCUUUUAUCGGGGAGCAAGCGAGAGUGAGUUUACCCGUUGAAUAAGCACCGGCUAACUACGCGCCAGCAGCCGCGGUAAUACGUAGGGUGCAAGCGUUAUCCGGAAUUAUUGGGCGUAAAGGGCUCGUAGGCGGUUCGUCGCGUCCGGUGUGAAAGUCCAUCGCUUAACGGUGGAUCCGCGCCGGGUACGGGCGGG